rnacentral:rRNA from 1 species
GUCUACGGCCAUGCCACCCCGAACAAGCCCGACGUGUGAUCUCGGAAGCUAUGCAGGGUUGGGCCUGCUUAGUACUGGGAUGGUAGACCACCUAGGAAGCCAAAGUGCUGUAGGCA